UACGUAGGGCGCAAGCGUUGUCCGGAAUUAUUGGGCGUAAAGAGCUCGUAGGCGGUCUGUCGCGUCCGUUGUGAAGACUCGAGGCUCAACCUCGGGCUUGCAGUGGAUACGGGCAGACUAGAGUGCGGUAGGGGAGACUGGAAUUCCUGGUGUAGCGGUGGAAUGCGCAGAUAUCAGGAGGAACACCGAUGGCGAAGGCAGGUCUCUGGGCCGCAACUGACGCUGAGGAGCGAAAGCAUGGGGAGCGAACAGG
rnacentral:rRNA from 1 species